rnacentral:rRNA from 1 species
CCUACGGGAGGCAGCAGUGGGGAAUAUUGCACAAUGGGCGCAAGCCUGAUGCAGCGACGCCGCGUGAGGGAUGACGGCCUUCGGGUUGUAAACCUCUUUCAGUAGGGAAGAAGCGAAAGUGACGGUACCUGCAGAAGAAGCGCCGGCUAACUACGUGCCAGCAGCCGCGGUAAUACGUAGGGCGCAAGCGUUAUCCGGAUUUAUUGGGCGUAAAGAGCUCGUAGGCGGUUUGUCGCGUCUAUCGUGAAAGUCCGAGGCUCAACCUCGGAUCUGCGGUGGGUACGGGCAGACUAGAGUGAUGUAGGGGAGACUGGAAUUCCUGGUGUAGCGGUGAAAUGCGCAGAUAUCAGGAGGAACACCGAUGGCGAAGGCAGGUCUCUGGGCAUUUACUGACGCUGAGGAGCGAAAGCAUGGGGAGCGAACAGGAUUAGAUACCCUGGUAG